rnacentral:lncRNA from 1 species
AGUAGUUCCUCACAAACAAAAAUACUACUUUCUUGAUGAUUUGUACUGUAGUCACUUGAUGAUACUCUUUACAUCCACAGGUGAAGCAGACUCGGUCUUCACAUUACUAUGCUAAUACAAUGAAACAGAGAAAUUUGACGAAAAACUUAUAAACGACUAGCAUAGUCUAACAAUGGCAUCAUACAAUAGUUGCUAGACAAUCUGGUUAUAUAAAUAAACGAAAGCUCCAAGUCUUCUAACAAAUAAAGUUGUUACUGUCUAACAAUUGCAUUGAACAGAAGUUGAUGGAUAUUCUCACAUGAAUAAGAGCUAAAGUACAAUAAAAAAUUCACGUAUAUCAUCACAAAACUUACCUCCACAAAUUAUUUACUUGUCAGCAUAAAUUUUAGUCAUAUAUUCAUGAAAAAGAACACUUACGUAACAAUUAAACUAUAAGCCAACCUCUAUAGACUUACUAACAUUAGAAUUAAAUAAAUAAAGAAUAAGUUGCAGCCAGUUAAUUGAUUAACGGAAGUUAAACUUUUACUAAAGUUGAACGCUAACAGCUCUGGAAUACUGAAGUAGAGAAAUGAACUAAUAAAACAGGAACAGUAAAUUAAUAAUAAAACCAAUCCAGUGUCAAAAUCUUUGGAGCUAACUACAAGCAAAAGAAGCAAAAACAAAAGUGCCAAAACUCGAAGCGAAAAAAUAAAAUUUGUAUACUACCAGCUUACUUCAACAUCUCAUUUUUUGAGGCACUUAAUCAAAUUUUCUACGGCACGAAUUCUACUAGCAUCUGUAUCGGUAACAACUGCAAAAGAAUAUGAAACAAAAUACUGUUAGUUACUUAAUGUAACCUAAAGGAAAGAAGUGAAAGGUUUGAAAAUGAAGGAGAUAACAUACGUGAUAUCUCAACAUUCGAAUUGUGGAAUUUUGUUUGAUUAGUUUCUUUUGAUUGUCUCUUCAUCAGUUAAGCAUCUCAGUAUCCUUCAAACCGUUAUUGCUAAGCGAAUUAAAUAAUUAGUACCUGCCUUUCAUAUGAUUGGAGUUGGAAAAAUAGGCAGCAGAUUGAACUAUCACCACAAGAGUGUCAGGGACCUUUGUAGUUUCUGGAUGCUGUUGUAUAUUGCAGUAAACAAUCCAUCGUAAGAAUAAGAAAUUUGAUAUGCAAUCAAUAAAUUAAAAAGACCACCAUAGAUUUAUGUAAGUUGUAAGUUUACACUUGUAUAUCAAGUUUCCGUCUACCUGAAGCCACAUAUGCAGGAAGAUGUCAUUGAGCUAACUAUGCUAAUUGAUCCCAAGGCUACCAUUUCAUUGUUUCACUUCAACUGGUGUUCAAUGCUACAAAUAUUCUAUCAAUUGUUGUAUCUUCCUAUAAUUCAAGAAGUUUGCAAUAUAUAAAAAGAAAAACUUUCUCUGAAAAGAAUAUUUGGCCACAAAAUGUAAGAAGCAUAACUAACCACUCAGUGCCAUCACACUAGCACAUCAAGCCUCAAUUUUUUUUGAGUUGAACAUCAAUCCUGAAAUUCUUGCACACAUAUUCACUAGUGAAAUAAUUCUCUUCAUCAUGCUUAUUUGCACCCAAACAUAUCAUGCAUUUUGAAAAGUGAAAUGAGGAUAUGACAAAGAUAUUGAUAAUAUGAUCUAUAACACUUGCUCUGGCUAGUCACUGAAAAAGCUUUUACAUUGAUAAGGCAUGUUUAUGCCAUAAAUAAGUCUCUAAAAGUAAAAACCAGAAUUGCUAGCUAAAGUUUAAUCUCUAGGAGUGCUUUACCAUGGCAAAUUAGCUCAAAUCUAUAGGAGUGCUUUACCAUGGGAAAUCAUCUCAAAUCUUUGGUUGAAUAGAGUAAUUAUCUACAACAAUCACCUGAGCAUAGUGCAAAACUUCACGUAAUUUUACUCAUGUUUCUAACCACCUCUGGUACAUAAGGAUGCUAUAGUUUCAAAUAUACAAUAAAAAUGAAGCUUAGAAGUAUGUACCUCAUUCUUCUCAUUUUUUUCUCAUUAGUUUGUCAACUAAUGUGAGAACCAAUAAUUCAGAACCAGCAGUUACCAAACAUCACACAUUGGACUGUGAAUUGUGAUUAUAGCAGUUUAUGAAUAUAAAAAAACUGCUAACUAAUAUCAGGAGCUCAUAUUAAUCUCCUGUAAAAAGAAGGUGUAAAAUCUAAUUCAGAUUUACUUGAUUAAAUAUUAACUAGAGUAUUACAUUAUGAGGAGGCUUCUUUAUAGUACUUGAAAACAAAAGACCCCUCAAUCAUCACAAGAAGGAAAAUAAAAAUUCAAUUCUUAGAUGCCAGACCAUCACUCCCCAAAAUGGACCAAGACCAACUUCCAAAUAAUUCAAAAAAUAAGAACAUAAAUUCAUUGGUUAUUAAACUAGUUGGACAAAGAAAAAGUCCAUUGCAUUGUUUGUCGUACUUCACGAUCUUAAGCACAUAAUCCAUUCAUAGCCAAAAUACAGAAAACCUUAAUCAACUGCAAAUGAUGAAAGAUACCCCAAAUACCACCUAAUACAAAUAUACGAUUUCAUACCAGAGACCUUCCUUUUAAAAAUUACACAUUCAUUUCCCCAAUAAAAUUACUCUUAGAAGGACAAAUUUACGCUUGGACCUUAAAAACAAAGGAAGCCACACAAUAAUUGAACAAAAUAUAACCCUAUAACUGUACUAAUACAUAGAUCCCACAGCAUAUCAAAAACAAUUUCAGGUACGGACUUCUACAUCAGAAAGUAAACAAAGACGAUAUAGAGCAAAAGAAAACAAGAAAGAUCUUAAUAAAGUACGAACCUUUGUUGCCGGGGGAAGAGAGGGAAUUGAGCCCUGCUAAUUUUUGAGUUGAAGAGAGGGAAUUAACUAUACUCUUAGAAAAAGGAGGAAUUUUGCCCGGUU